rnacentral:rRNA from 1 species
CAGUAGCCGCGGUAAUACGAAGGGGGCUAGCGUUGUUCGGAAUUACUGGGCGUAAAGGGCGCGUAGGCGGCCAUUCAAGUUAGAUGUGAAAGCCCUGGGCUCAACCCAUAGCCUGCACGAGAAACUACCGGGCUUGAGUAGUGGAGAGGUGAGUGGAAUUUCCGGUGUAGCGGUGAAAUUCGUAGAUAUUCGCAAGAACACCAGUGGCGAAGGCGGCUCACUGGCCCGGAACUGACGCUGAGGUGCGAAAGCGUGGGGAGCAAACAGGAUUAGAUACCCCAGUAGUCCCUGUCUCUUAUAC